AUGGUUAAAAGAAGUUUACUAGGCAGAGUAUUUACCCUUUGUUUGGUAUAUGUCCCUAAUAUUAAGCAAGACACCUUCCUUGAUGGUUUUAUUUUUGUCUUGCCGCCUUCAGAAAAUCUCACUACUGAGAGAGAUUUAAACCUUACCUUAAAUUUUCCAGUUGAUGUUUCAGAUACUAGAGGUCAGGAAUUUUAUUCAUCAGGUCCAUUCCUGACACAAAAUAUCCAGCCAGGUGUCUCAGCUGAAAAAGUGCUGCUCUCUCUAAAAAUUUAUUUGUUUUACGCACAUAACCAUUUGUUGAUCACACCAGUGUAUUAUUUAUCAUUUUCUGGUUCCUCACAGGAUUCUCUUCCUCAGACAAAUAGAGGCCAAAUGACAUGGUCUGUCUCUCUUUCUGCCUUGACAACACAACCAGACUGUCUUGUUAGUCAAGGGCAUAGAAAACGUGAACUGAACAAUUUUCUUUUCAACUCAUUUCUAGCACUGGAGGUUGACACCAGCAAAAAUCAGAUAUGUUUCUAUCAUGGCACAUUACCUAGCAGCUCUUCAUAUGGGAUUUAUAAGGUUGUACUGAAGAGAAAAUUAAUUGAGAAAAGUUCAGGAAUUGAAAGGGGAGAAAAUGCAGCACCCAGAUUUCUUAUCUCUGAAAUAAAAUAUUUUGAGGUGUAUAAAAAUGUAGGUGCAAAGAAAAUGUUGAAUAAGCUUCUAUUCCUAGGAUGUCUACUACAUGCUCUAGUGUUAGAAAAAAUAGCGUGUAUUUUACAUCAGUGUAGAAAAAUUUCCAGCAAGACAGAGAAGAAAAGGCAUGCUGUUACAAUGUAUAAGGUAAGAAGUCAAAGAGAAAAACAUAUUAUAAUAGCUACUAAGGAACAAACCAGAAAAAUGCAUUACCUUCUGAGGACUCACGUCAGAGAAGUUAGAGUUCAAGUUAACACUCAGCAUCUGAAGGGAGAAUCUGAGGCCACCAAAUCAAGUAGAGGAUCUGAUCCAGAGAAGCUCCUGAUCAAGUUAUAUGAAGCACUAAAAGAUCACCUUCUCCUCCCAUUAACUGACCUUAUAUGUUAUUUUCUGGACUUCAAACCUUUAGCAGAUACUCUGAAGGAAGCUGGUAAUAUUGUUUUAAAGGCUAGGAAAGAGAAAGGUGAUUUUUCAUCAGAUAGGGACACGCCCCUGUUACAUAUAGAGUGUAGGACACACGUAGCAGUACUGACAGCUGCAUUAGAAUCAGCAUUACCUAAAGUACUUGUCAUAGCCUCAGUGAAAAUUGGUCAGAGACAACUGCUUUUAGAUAACUGCCAGAUAUUAAUCACGAGACAUUCAGACUUUAACGUUAAGUUUGGUAUACUAUUUUCAUUGAGAAAGGAAAUAUUAAUAGAAGAUGUAAGAAAUAAAUGGACUGAAGUUGUACUCUAUAAACCCUUAGAACCCUCCCAGCUUUCUAGACAGAUAGGGAAUAGUAAUUCACUGUUACCAAUAUUGUUUGCAUUAUUAAGGAAACAAUUUGUACAAAAAGUGAGGAUGAAUAAACUAGAACCACCUUUAAAUGCAAACAAGUUGAUUUACGAAACAACGUUAUCUUUGAAGGAAAUCCUAUUAGCAAUUCAGAGUGCUUCAAACCCACUGCAUUUGAGAACAUUUCGGCUUCUAAAAUUAAUUAUUUCAGUUCACAAGCUUUGUGAAUUUCAUGUUCAGGUCAAAAUGAGAUCAGGCUACAAAUUCAUUUUAAGGUGGUCAAACGCCACAGAAAGUAUUGGGUAG
rnacentral:lncRNA from 1 species